GAUGAACGCUGGCGGCGUGCUUAACACAUGCAAGUCGAACGGUGAAAGAGGAGCUUGCUCUUCUGGAUCAGUGGCGAACGGGUGAGUAACACGUGAGCAAUCUGCCCCUGACUCUGGGAUAACAGCUGGAAACAGCUGCUAAUACCGGAUACGAGACGUGAUCGCAUGAUCAACGUCUGGAAAGAACUUCGGUCAGGGAUGAGCUCACGGCCUAUCAGCUAGUUGGUGAGGUAAUGGCUCACCAAGGCGACGACGGGUAGCCGGCCUGAGAGGGUGACCGGCCACACUGGGACUGAGACACGGCCCAGACUCCUACGGGAGGCAGCAGUGGGGAAUAUUGCACAAUGGGCGAAAGCCUGAUGCAGCAACGCCGCGUGAGGGACGACGGCCUUCGGGUUGUAAACCUCUUUUAGCAAGGAAGAAGCGAAAGUGACGGUACUUGCAGAAAAAGCGCCGGCUAACUACGUG
rnacentral:rRNA from 1 species